CGGGAACCAGAUUUUGAGCAACGCUGUCCUCUCCUGGUACAAGCCUUUACAAAACCCACUUGAGCCUCUGUGCCCAGUCUGGACACACUCGUCUGAUUUCACAGUGAGCCAGGGAACUACUGGGGCCAGUUCUCAGGUGGUAGCAGGAGCCCCGUCUCACCAGCGUGGGAGCACAGCCGGGAGGCUCAGGCGGCCAAGGUCAGACAGAGAGCCGGGGGACCACACGGACUCAAGUCCAGUUACUCUUUACUAGACUCCAGCUGCCCCACAGGAGUCUUCGUUUUCUUAAGCCCUCACCUAAAAGCUUUGAAAACAUUAUGGAAUGAACUA